rnacentral:lncRNA from 1 species
UACUUAGCGUCUGACUUGGACUUCCUUCUCCCUGUGUCAUUCAUGCAAAAGUAUCGUUGAACGUUCUGCUUCCAGUUGCAAGCUGUACGUGCACACGCCGGCGCGCUCGGUAGGCCCUGCGGGAGCACGCGGGGCAGCCCACAGGUAGGUGACUAGACCUUUUCGUUUUCUGUUUAUUUUUUUUUUUUUCCAGAAAAGUUUUGUAAACGCACAAGGAAAACAGGUGGUUUACAGAAUGAACUAGCCAAAGGAUCUGAGUUUAAACAG